rnacentral:rRNA from 1 species
AUACGUAGGUGGCAAGCGUUGUCCGGAAUUAUUGGGCGUAAAGCGCGCGCAGGCGGGAACUUAAGUCUAUCUUAAAAGUGCGGAGCUCAACUCCGUAAGGGGAUAGAAACUGGGUUUCUUGAGUGUCGGAGAGGAAAGUGGAAUUCCCAGUGUAGCGGUGAAAUGCGUAGGUAUUGGGAGGAACACCAGUGGCGAAGGCGACUUUCUGGACGAUGUCUGACGCUGAGGCGCGAAAGCCAGGGGAGUGAACGGGAUUAGAUACCCCGGUAAUCCUGGCCGUAAACGAUGGGUACUAGGUGUAGAGGGUAUCGACCCCUUCUGUGCCGGAGUUAACGCAAUAAGUACCCCGCCUGGGGAGUACGGCCGCAAGGUUGA